UACGAAGGGGGCUAGCGUUGCUCGGAAUCACUGGGCGUAAAGGGUGCGUAGGCGGCCGGGUAAGUCUGCUGUGAAAUCCCGCAGCUCAACUGCGGAACUGCAUUGGAUACUAUCCGGCUAGAGGAAUGGAGGGGAGACUGGAAUUCUCGGUGUAGCAGUGAAAUGCGUAGAUAUCGAGAGGAACACCAGUGGCGAAGGCGAGUCUCUGGACAUUUCCUGACGCUGAGGCACGAAAGCCAGGGGAGCAAACGGG
rnacentral:rRNA from 1 species